rnacentral:rRNA from 1 species
CCUACGUGGGGCAGCAGUGAGGAAUAUUGGUCAAUGGGCGCGAGCCUGAACCAGCCAAGUAGCGUGAAGGAUGACUGCCCUACGGGUUGUAAACUUCUUCUAUAAAGGAAUAAAGUGAGGCACGUGUGCCUUUUUGUAUGUACUUUAUGAAUAAGGAGCGGCUAACUCCGUGCCAGCAGCCGCGGUAAUACGGAGGAUCCGAGCGUUAUCCGGAUUUAUUGGGUUUAAAGGGAGCGUAGAUGGGUUGUUAAGUCAGUUGUGAAAGUUUGCGGCUCAACCGUAAAAUUGCAAUUGAUACUGGCAGUCUUGAGUACAGGUGAGGUAGGCGGAAUUCGUGGUGUAGCGGUGAAAUGCUUAGAUAUCACGAAGAACUCCGAUUGCGAAGGCAGCUUACUAAACUGCCACUGACAUUGAUGCUCGAAAGUGUGGGUAUCAAACAGGAUUAGAUACCCCGGUAGUC